CUGUGAGAACCUACUUUCCGCUUUCGAGCGCAUCGGGAAUAGCGUUGUAUGCGGCGAGAUGUGAAUCGUGUCAUCGAUGCGGAUCUCGGAGUUUAAAAAUAACAAAGAAAACAGUCGCUUCUCCACCUCUCCAUGGCUGUCUCUCGCACUCCUGUGCCCGUGUGCGAGUGAGCGAGAAAGAGAGAGAGGGGAGCUGGAGAUGUGCAGCGCCGCGCACGGCCAGAAAUCACACUGCCGCCUGGAGAAAAGAAAAAUCAAGGCGAGGAAACCCUGGAGUGAGAAGACGAAGAAGAAGAGGAGCGCCUUCAAUCCUCUUACGCCGCACUCGAAGGUGCUGUCAGUCUGCAGUUGCUAAUUAAAAGGUUUGGAAGGAAACGGCGUAAUUAAAGUGAUGUACACUUGAUGAUGAGACGCGUUUGGAGUCUUCGGGAAGAGCUGUUUUAGGCUAGGGUGAGCGGGUCGCCCCCUUAUGGACGCCGCCAUGUUGACAUCACAUGACCAGCUGUGUUGACCGUUUGUGUUUAUUACUUUACGGGCGCUGAUUUAAACAAAAUAAGCUCAAUAUACACUCUAUGGUGUGUAAAGUAAAUAAAUAAAAGCAAAAGGUAUUGGGGAUUUCCUGUCAGGGCUAGUUUACAGACAUUUCCAUUAAAUGGGAUAGUUCACCUAAAAUGAAAAUUCCCUCACCAUUUUCUUCCACUCAAGUGGUUCUAAACUUUUUAUGAUUUUAUUUCUUCAGUUAAACACAAAACAAGAUAUUCUGAAGGAUGUUGAAAGCAGUCACUUGACAUCCAAUGUAUGAACAUACAAACAAUAAAACACCCUAAAACGACAGCAGUGAAAACACACUGUUAAUCGGCUAUAUGCAUACAGACUUCAUUUUCAGCCAGGCAGCCCAAGGGGGCUUCCUCUGAACUGUCUUUCCAUUACAAAACUUUCACAUUUAAGAUCUGAUUUCUAUAAAAAUCAGCGAUCUUCACUGCCUGUUAAAUAUAUAUGAUAUGAAGUGGGUCUCAGAUCGGACAAGAAGCACUGCAUUAAAUUCCAUUUCCCCCUGCUAACAGUUUAUUUCACCCCAACAUUUUCAAAGAAAUUUCUGCGCCAGCCUAAUGCUGCGGUUACAACGGUCUUUCAUCUUAUUUUAUGCUUGAGCAACUAAAUGAUUGCUAAAUGAUUAGUCUAUUUAACUGAAUGUAUUGUAAUGACAACAUCGAUGCUGUAAAAACAACCAUGUGAAAUUGAAAAUACUCACAUUAAGCUUUCACCGGAAGUUUAUCGUUGGCUUUAAAACUCUUGCUGUGCAUUAUGACAGAAGAAGGGGGGUGAAAAGUAUUCCCCUUAAUGUCAAAUCAAAUGCAAUUUAUAAUUUAAAAAUGCAGGUGAACACCACCUGUGAAAAUGUACUUAACCCUUUGACUGCCCAAUCUACCAAAUGGUUGACCUUGUUUUGACUGUUUAAGUCAUUUAAAUAAUGGUUUACACGUACACACAGCAUUGUUCAUUUACAAAACAAUCAAGACAUAAUCCUGUUGCACUACUUCACUUGAUUUUGGUUUUAUUGUUAAAAAAAAAACAUGUUAAUCUGAAAUAUUUUAUGGCAUACUUCAAAAAAUAAAGGUGAUUUAGUAUUCAAAAAUGUUUUAUUUUGAUUAUUUUUUAAGUAAAUUGGUUUUACACUUCGUUUUCUGAUUUUUCAUCGUAAAUGUAUAAUUCCGGUACUUUUACCAUAAACUGACAUAUCAACCAUUUAGUAGAGAUUGAUAUUUUAGAAAUUAUGGAAAAAAAUUGCAUUAAGUGUGUUAACUAGUGACAUUAAGAGAAAAUAUUUUUUUUCUUGUUGGGGCAGUUCAAGGGUUAAUGUAGGCCUACAUAUGGUUUCUUUACAUUAUUAACACAGUACAUGUACUUACUGCCAUGCUUAAUUUUAACAAGACUGAAAAACAAGACUGUGAGGGAUUGAAGUACAUUCUUUACAAUGGAUUGUAUGCUUAUAUACAGUUGAAGUCAAAAUUAUUAGUCCCCUUUUUUUCUUUUUUUAUAUUUUUUCCAAAUUAUGUUUAACAGAGCAAGAAAAUGUUCACAGUAUGUCUGAUAAUAUUUUUUCUUCUGGAGAAAGUCAUGUUUAUUUUAUCUCUAGAAUAAAAUUAGUUUUUAAUUUAAACAUCAUUUUAAGGACAAAAUUAUUAGCCCCUUUAAGCUAAAUUAUUAUUAUUAUUUUUUUGAUAGUCUACAGAACAAACCAUCGUUAUACAAUAACUUGUCUAAUUACCCUAACUUGCCUAAUUAACCUAAUUAGCCUAGUUAAGCCUUUAAAUGUAUAGAAGUGUCUUGAAAAAAUAUCCAGUAAAAUAUCAUGUACUUUCAUCAUGGCAAAGAUAAAAUAAAUCAGUUAAUAGAAAUAAGUUAUUAAAAAUAUUAUGUUCAGAAAUGUGUUGAAAAAAUCUCUCCAUUAAACAGAAAUUGGUGAAAAAAUAAACAGGGGCGCUAAUAAUUUAGGGGGGCUAAUAAUUCUGACUUCAACUUUAUAUAUAUAUAUAUAUAUAUAUAUAUAUAUAUAUAUAUAUAUAUAUAUAUAUGUAUUCAGACCUAAUGAAAACUAACUAUGGUUUUGCUACAUAUAAAACAGAUGUUUGUUUGUUUGUUUGUUUGUUUGUUUGUUUGUUUGUUAAACAAUGGUAACCACAUUUUAAGUUAAAAAAAAGAUUUUACAAAUUAUAAUCGAUACACAUAAAAAUGGUUAGCCUACUAAACUACUAAAAUAAAACUAUGGUUAGUAAUAUGGACUUAAGGGAGGGUUUUUCCACAUCUGAGGAAUAGUAAGGGGGUCAGGGGAAAAUUUGGGGGGAAUAAAAGCAUCAAAAAUGUAAAAAUGAAUAAAAAAAAAACUAAUUAUUUAAUUAACUUAUUCAAAAAAGCUAAAACAAUCAAAGAUCAACCAAGUGCACGUUCAUUUAUUUUCAUUUGGCUUAGUCCCUUUAUGUAUCAGGGGUUGUCACAAUGGAACGAACUGCUAACUAUUCAAUUAUGUUUUACACAGCCACAAUCCAGUACUGGGAAACGCCCAUACACACUCAUUCACACACACUAUGGCCAGUUUAGCUUACCCAAUUCACCUGUACCGCAUGCCUUUGGACUGGGGGGAAACCAGAACACCUGGAGGAAACCCAAGUGAACAUAGAGAGAACAUGCAAACUCCACAGAGAAAUACCAACUGGCCAAGCCAGGAUUUAAACCAAUGACAUUCUUGCUGUGAGGCGACAGUGUUAACCACUGAGCCAACGUGUCACCCGCGCAUUAGUGUAAAUUUUAAAAUAUGAAUAUAAAGCAGUAUAUUAAAUAAAUAAUACAGAAAUAUGAUUAAAAUGAACAAAUAAAACAAAUUAAUUUGAUUAAAACUGUUUAUUGUGUUAUUGUGUUUAUUGGUUGUUUGUUGCAAAUCAAGAAAUAAAAACUAGCUGAAAUUUUGCUGACUGAAAUCGCAGAUUUUGCAUCACAGAAUCAGAAGUUUUCGGUCAUCCUGGUACUGUUUGCCUGAUUUAUGAGUACUAUGAAUAUACUACUCAGCUCACAUACUCUUUUUUCACAGACAUACUGUAUAGUAAUGAAGUUGGCACAUUUGAAUGCAGACUUAGACUAUUCCCUCACAGUCUCAUUCUCAUACAGUCAAAAUUCCCUGUCUCGUCUGAAUAUACACCAUUGUGCUUUUUCUCAUAAGCUUUAUAAUCACAGUAUUGCAAUAAAGCUUGACUCA
ensembl:antisense